GGGUGUAGCUGUCAGUAUAAAAGAUGGGUGAGUAAGCAACUGAGCAGCAAAGCGCAAGAAGCUAGCAGCAGUGCUAAGGAGAUUACAGAAACAGCAGUGAUACUGUACUGAAAGAGAUGAGUAAAAGAAAGAGGAUGGAGAGAAACCCUAACUCUUGUGAGAACUUUUUCUGCCUGGACAUUUGGAAAGAGCAGAAAUAAACAUCAGAUAAGCGACCACUAGAGAGUACAACCAAUUGUCAAGCACAUGGACUGGAUAAAAUGCCAUAUAAAGACAAGGAAUCAGUUUAUACCGGUACGUAUUUAUGAAGACUAUGCUGACUUACUGAAAGGCUGGAAGAAAGCAAAAUAGCAUUGGACCCACUUGGAAAAAAAAAGACGACCCAGCAACAACAUGGAUGCUAUUUUUUUUUUUUCCCUAAAUAAUGAAGUCAUAACAGUACUAACAGUAUAUACUACACUGAUGACUGCACAGAACUAAGUGAAGCCAUCGACAGUAUUGAUUGGAUAUACCUCACUGUCCCAGACAAACACCAUAGGGUUUUUUGGUUGUUGUUGUUUGUAAAACAAAAAUAAUUGCAAAAUCAAGAGAUAAAGAGGAUUCAAGUGAGAUGUAAUCUAGCUAGGUGUUACAGAGGUGUUUCCCAAUGUGACUUCUUGCAAAAACUUAACCUGAAGGAAAAAAAAAUUAAAAGCACCAGUGUGCACCAGCUUUGAAUGGACCAGAAAUAAAGGAAAGUAAAGAAAGACUCACUGCUCCCAGCACCUGUCAGGAUCUCCAGUGCCCUGGGUUUUUCCUCCAGGUUCGCUGAGAGGCUGAGCUUGAACACCUUCUACAUUAGUUUCUGCUUUACCUUUGCAUUUGAGACCACCUCUUCAUACAUUUGGACAACAAACUGGGAUCUGGAAGUAUGACAUUCAUAUGAAAUAAUUAAUGAUACUACUUACACCAAAGGUAUUACAACAGCAUGUGGGUGUUUAAAAUGAAGUAUGGUAUGUGGCUGCUAUCAGAAGGAAGUCUCAAUCAUCUGUGCUCCUCAGCAUUGGCUGAAACAUGAGCAAGUUUGAAAUCACAGCAUGCAGAACAAGGUCUUACUAUGGGACAAAUCAUUUUUGUGCAGUCUAUGCAGCAUAUGGAGCAGAUACUGCUUAUUAUGGCCAAGUAGUUUUUAGUCUUUACAAAGCACUGAACUGAUUUGCCAAAUGCUCAUUUAUUUAAUUAAUGAUCCAUUUCUCACUGAUUAUGAUGCUUUGACAUUUAUAGAUUGUAUAGCAUUUAUGGCACGCUACUGCAAUCAGAGACAGAUUACAUUACAUGAUACAGACAUUGACUCUUUUUGGUUGUAGUAACUGCCUCCAGGAAGGUUUCAAGCUGAAUGUAAGCAGUUACAAGCAGAGAUGUGCUGUUACAGGAAUAUUUUCUAGCACUCACCUUACUCCUGAAUAAUUCUACCGGGAAGCACAUUCUUUGGAUUUCUAUAGAGCCAGCCAAAAUGCUGCGACUGCAGUCUCAGCCAAUUCAUUUAAAGCUACAUACAGCUGGAUAAGCAAAGCUCAAGGCACACCCCUGGGACAAGCCAUACUACAGCAGGUGCUAGAUCUGAGAAGUUAAGGAAGGAGCAGGCUGUGUGCCAAAGGAGAGACAACACUCAGGGGCUCUUAGUGGCCUUGAGAACAGGAAGGUCCCACAGUACAGCGGUGAAUCUUGGCUAUGCACUAUGCUGUGGAUGAAAUCGCUGCCUCACACUUGAAAGGAACUGCAGGCAGCAAGAAGAGAGACUGAAGCACUGUCCUGGAUUGUACAUAAGUGGGGCUGCAGAAGGCCUGCUGAAAGUCAGUUAAAGCACUUCUCAGAUUUGUAUCAACUGUGGCAAGUCAUUUUAGGAAGCAAACAAAACAAAACAAACUUAACUGGAGAGUACCAAGACUGGAAUUAAAAUAACACAAAUUCCACUCAGCUGUAUCUGCCUUCUUGCUUGUUAGGUUUGAAAGAUCCUCAAAGCAAACUUGAGCUCAGCCAGCAUUCAGAAACUGCUAGAGACAAAAGAACUGCCUUCCCAACCAGCUCUAACAUUGAUCGCUUCUAGAAACUGCUUUGUAGGAAGCACCCCAGAGAGAAGUCAGCCCCUCGUUGGAGAGCAGCACAGAUCCGACUGCAAGAAGGUGGCCUGCAGCCACCAACAGCUCCAGAGCUCGGUGUAGCUGAAGAGUAAACCUUGCCCGGACAUACUAUUAAGUGCUUUCCGCCUGUUACUUGUUAGAAAUAACAGACAAACAAACCUCCUUCCCUCCCACUUCCCCACAGAAAACAACAGCUUCAUAGCACAAGCAAUAGGAUUCCACAUCUGGCUCAGGCCCAAAGCAUUCCACAUCAAAGGCGGCGAGAAGUGGCGGGAGCACCGCGUUCACACACGGUGAGCUGGGGCUGAGCACGUACAGAAGCUGCAGUCCCCACAUCCUCCUCACCCCACAUUUCUCAGCUCACUGCAGCAACUAUGUGCAGCAGACUGGGGUCUCUUUGGCCAUGGCAGACGAGCAGCAGAUCCUCAGGAUGAAUUUAGAGCCAGUGACGCCAUUUCCGGUAAAAAUUUGUUCCUCCCUUCCCUCUUCCCAACAAGAUGAAGUACACAAACUGCAGCCCAGGUUAAAAGUUCAGCCUACACUGAGGGAACCUGCACUGUGAUGAGAACAGACUUACCCCAAGAUUUGAUUUAAAGGUCUAAAGAAGUUGAUGCAGAAGCCAAGGUCUGCGUGGACAUAACAAACCUGUGUUGAGCUUCAAAAUAUCAUCAAAGCCUCAACUAUAAAAGGUGAUUCUCAUUUUCAUCAGGAGUUAAUACCAGGAAAACCUCAGCUAUUGCUGCCAGCUGGAUCUGACCUCAUCUUGUGACUGGUCUGGCUCUAAAACCACUGACAGUUUUUGGGAUAUGUCACCGGAGCUCUGCAUGAAGAGAAGAGGGUGCAAGACUGUCACAGCGACAUAAUCACAAUUUCAGUGAGAUCUUUCACAAUCACACAGCAA